rnacentral:rRNA from 1 species
ACUCAAAGGAAUUGACGGGGCUCCGCACAAGCAGUGGAGCAUGUGGUUUAAUCCGAUGCUACGCGUAGAACCUUACCGAGGCUUGACAUCCCAGGAAUCCCCUGGAAACAGGGGAGUGCCUUCGGGAACCUGGUGACAGAUGCUGCAUGGCCGUCGUCAGCUCGUGUCGUGAGAUGUUGGGUUAAGUCCCGCAACGAGCGCAACCCUUGUCGUGUGUUGUAUUUUUCACGCGAGACCGCCCGGGCCAACCGGGAGGAAGGUGGGGAUGACGUCAGGUCGGCAUGGCUCUUACGCCUCGGGCUACACACGUGCUACAAUGGCCGGCACAACGGGUCGCUAAAUCGCGAGAUGGAGCUAAUCCCAUCAAAACCGGUCCCAGUUCGGAUUGCAGGCUGCAACUCGCCUGCAUGAAGUUGGAAUUGCUAGUAACCGUGGGUCAGCAUACCACGGUGAAUACGUUCCCGGAGCUUGUACACACCGCCCGU